GGAGGCUGGGGCCGACCCACUCUGUAGCUGGACCGUUGCAACUCUCCUUUUGGUGCUAAGGGGUUUCCAAUGGGGCCUUCCUCACAGCUGGACAGAAGGCCUUUUUAUCCCAGGGAUUGUGCCGGUUGCUGCCCUGUCUGCUGUAACAAAGGCAGCUUAAGGAGGGUUAAGUGUUUUGAUUCAUAGCCUAAGAAGAGAGUCCUCAGGGCAGGGCCAGCCUAGCAGCCUGAGAGCCAGUCACAGAGCAGGGUAAUGCUGGUCUUUAGGUCACUGUCUAAUCUCUUAUUCAGUCCAGAACUCAGCCUGUGUGAUGGGACCACCCACAUUCAGGAUGAAUCUUCUCUCCUCACUUAAACCUCUGAGGAAACACCUCACAAACAAACCCCACAUCCCCCGGGGUGGUACUGACUCUCCAAGCCUGCUGUGAGAUUAGCCAUCACAAUCACUAUAUCCUAUUUGGACUUUCUAUUAAAAAACAGUUCUGAGGUGUUAUGUUAAUAAGCCGUGCUCGUGGCUUUAGCACUGCGGGAGGGGAAGUUUCAAGUUUCCUGCAGCCUGUUUUCUCUUUCCCACUCUUUCACCCAUUGUCUACACUUCUGUCCACUCAGGUUCUGCCUCUGCCAGGACAGCACCUUUCUUAAAACUCACAACUGCCCUCCCUCGCUGAUAUUGCUAAUGGACUGGAUAGCCUCAGACCACAGUGGGAUCUCCACAGUGAGAUCCCCGCUGCCAAGACAGCAAUCCUUCUGCUCUCCCCAUUUCUGAGAACUCUGGGUCUAUCUAAUUUCCAGGACAGUCCUACAAGGAGCCAUAACUACCCCUAUUUUGCAAAUAAAAACAUUAAGACUAAAUGAGGUUAUCAAACCAAGUGGUAGCGCUUCAGACCCAGAGAGUGAGAUUUGCAUUACACCAAGCUACGUCAAACAUCUUUAAUUCUUUGUGUGUUCAUUCUCAUCCCCGCUCAUGAGGUAGUAACAGGGAUGCCCGUGAGCAAAACAUUAACGUCUUAACACUGCCUGCUUGUGCUCGGUCCGUUCCCAAGGUGCAGUCCCACAAGGACAGUGACUGGCAACUGCCCGCGCUGUGGUUUUAUACUUUUAAAAGUUAAGAUUGCUAAACACUGUAGGGAUGUUCACUCCUUCUGGAAGGAACGGGUUUUUUUCACUCAUACUUCCUGGCUACAGAACAUCGUGGAGGUAUAUUUCUUGCUGGUUUCUUCUCAGACACAUGCUUUCUCGACUUUCCGAUGUAGCCCGUGACCGCCUGCCUAGGUGACCGUGCGUCCCACAGUGGGAUGGGUCCUCCUACAACAAUUAACAGUGAGGCCGUCCCCCCACGGACAUGCGCACAAGCCAAUCUGCUAACAGACCAUUCCUGAACCGAGGCUCCCAGAAGUUAAAGCUGACUAGGACAAUGUGUCUAUUACAUUAAGAGAAUGGAAGGAGACCUAAACAAGACUGAAGUCAAAUCGCCAUCAUUAACCAUCAAAAUCUGAACCAAGAGCCAAGCCCAGUGUUGACUCGAGUCAACACGGCAGAGGAAGUGGAUACACCUUACACCCAGAGAGCCCACACCCUCAAAUAGCCUUGCUCCUUGUCCCCAGGUUUCCAAAUGAAGGACCUGAGUUAUUUGCUUUCCGUGCUGGGGUGAGUCAGCAAAUGGGCUCACCCAAAUCCUUGCUUCUCAAAUGUUUUCUAACAAAAUAAAUUUUAAAGUUGAUAUUUAGUUACGGCCAAACGAAGGGUGGCAGUAACAACCAAUGGGUUUUUGCCACCCAGAUUUUUAAAAAUAGCUUCUCUGCUCAUUACUCUUUUAAACAUUCAUGGAUUACUAAAUAUAUUCUCUUACUGAAAUGUCAUAUGCCAAGAUUCAUCCCACAGACAUAUUUUUAUGGGCAAGUUACAUAUUCUUGAAAAAUUACAGUACACAAUGAAUGCCUAUGGCCCCAAAGCCAGACUCCAAUUCGAUCUCCCAGAUGAGGUGCUAUAAGAGGCAGCUGCUUUUUUUUCCAACAGAAAAAUACUCAUAAAAUCUCAGAGAUGAAAACACCCUUACAAAACAUGCAUCAAACCAUCCAGUCCCAGAGGAAGAAAAAAUAAAAACCGGAAUUAUAUCCCAUGUUUGCACAAUUCAACCCUGUUUAUUGUGUUUAUAGAUAAAAAUAUCCCAUCAUAUAUUUUAUUCAUGCAAAUGAUGUAAGUGCUCAUGUUUAUUCAAUGGCAAACGCUUGAAGCUUAUGACAGGAUCAUGAGCGUCAGCCCCUGUGUGGGUUUGGGGAUUAUCAACAAAUCAGGCCCGUGAAUUGCCACUGAGGCUAAGAGCAAUGGCUUCCCCAGUCAAACAUCAGACACUUUGAGAGUGUUGUGCUCUAGGCACUGUGGCCACAGCUGACCCAGAGAACGCAGCGAUGCUCUGAAAUGUCCAAUCUGAAUCUGAGUUUGUGGGGUGGCUUUUGAGGUGUUGCCUUUGCGACCCCGUGGUUCCCACUACACGCACUGACUUAUUCUGCUCCCUUUCUGCAUUUCUGUAAAGACUGGCUUUUUGCCAAACUGCAUUUUGAAAUCAGCAAAAUGAAGUUAAGUUAGGAUCAGAAAGCUUUUUUUUUUCUUUUUUUUCAGAGCUGGGGACCGAACCCAGGGCCCUGUGCUUGCUAGGCAAGCGCUCUGCCACUGAGCUAAAUCCCCAACCCCCAGAAAGCUUUUAACAUGGUGUGCUUGCUAGUUUUAUAUCAACUUGACACAAGCUAAAGUCAUCUGAGAGGAGUGUCUCAGUUAGGGUUGUACUGUUAUGAACAGACACCAUGACCAAGGCAACUCUUAUAGGGAAAGCAUUUAAUUGGGGCUGGCUUAUAAAUUCAGAGGUUCAGUCCAUAAUCAUCAAGGCAACAUCCAGACAGGCAUGGUGCAGGAGGAGCUGAGAGUUCUACAUCUUCAGGGGAGGUCACAGCUAGGAAAAGACUUCCGGUCCCACUGGGCAGGGCCUCAAAGCCCACCCCCCACAGCGACACACUUCCUCCAAUGAGGCCACACCCACUCCACCAAGGCCACACCCACUCCAACAAAAGCCACACCCACUCCAACAAAUGCCACACCCACUCCAACAAGGCCACACCUCCAAAUAUUGCCACUACCUGAGCCAAGUAUCUUCCAACCACCACAAGGAGGAACCUUGAUUAGGAAAAUGCCUCCAUAAUAUCAGGCUCUACGCAAACCUGUGGGGCAUUUUCUUAAUCAGUGAUUGAUGUGAGACAGCCUAGCUCGUUGUGGACCCAGGGAUGGUGGUCCUGGGUUCUAUAAGAAUGUACGCUGAGCAAGCCAUGGGGAGCAAGCUAGUAAGCAGCACCCCUCCAUGGCCUCUGCAUCAGCUCCUGCCUCCAGGAUCCUGCCCUGUGUGAUUACUGUCCUGACUUCCUUUGAUGGUGAAUAGCAAUGUGGAAGUGUAAACCAGAUAAACCCUUUUCUCCCCAAGUUGCUUUGGUCCUGGUGUUUUGUCAUGUCAAUAGUAACCCUAACUAAGACAUACGGUAAUGUUUUCCCCUAUAUAGUAUAUAUUAAAAUAAUAUACAAUUCAUAAUAAUACAUUAUAUUAAUAUAGUAAUGUAUAAUUAGUAGUAUAGCAUUAAUAGAGAAAUAUAGAAUAUAUUAUAUAUUAUAUUCACCAUUAUAUAUUAUAUUAUAUGUAUAUAAUAUAUAUUUCACUUAUUUCAAUUUUCACACUUUGGCUGUGCCCAUUUUGGCCAACUGCACCAUCGUGUUAUUUUGAUGGUUGUGUAAAGUUGCACUGUGUAUAUGGGUCCCGUCUUCGUUCUUCAUUCGUCUGAUGGACAUCCAGGCUGGCUCCGUUCUGUGACUUUUGUGAGUGCUGUAGCAAUAUCCACGAAUGGGCACGUGCUUCUGUGGCAUGUCGGCUUAGGGAUCUUCGGUUCAGGCCCUAGAGUGGUGCAGCUGGUCAUGUGACAGUUCUGUUUUCAGUAUUGUGAGGAACCUCCUCGCUGAACCCAAUCGUGGUUACAGUAGUUUCUCCUCCCACCCACACUGGAUAUUGGUUCCCCUUUCCCCACAUCCUCAUCAGUGUUUGUUGACACCCAGAGUGACUGACACAAAGCAAACCGGGGUCUGGGAAAAGGCUUGGCAGGUAAAAUGUAGCAAGCCUGAGAACCUGAGUUCAGUUCCCAGAACCUACACAGAAAAGCUGGUGUGACAGUGUAACAGUGUGACGUGUGGAGAUCCUCGGGGCUCACUGUCCCCUAGCUUAACCCAGCAAGCUCCAGGCCGGUGAGGACAGACACAUCUAAGGUUGACCUCUGGCCUCCCCAUGCAUGCAUGAACACACAUGUGCACAGACUCACAAAGGCAACAAAGAACAAAUUUUCACCAUUUAUUCGCAUCCGAGGAUAAAAAUAGGCGUGCUAUAAACUCCCGGGCUCAGCAGCUGACAGCUGAGCCACGUCAUGCGGUUUCUGGCCCUGUUUGCAUUUCUGCUUACGAUGACACCAGACUCUGUUACACAAGCAGCACUUCCCAGGGUUUGAAUAGAGGAGAGCGGUGGGGAAGUUGAAUCAUGGACUUCAGCUGGCUGUAUGGAUUUAGAGCUCACAAAGAGAUGGCUGGGGUGACAGCUCGUCCUCCUGGAGCAGAAGCCUGCACCGUGGGACUCUGUCUUUAUAAAUUAAUCCCAGGCGAAGGUUUCUAGCUGAAAAAAUGGCAUCGCGAGGCUGGUGACGCGGAUCCCGGGAAAAGACAUUAGGCAAGCAAGCCGGGCAACCUGAGUUCAGUGGUCGGAACCCACACAAAGUAGUUGCAGAGAACAGAUUCAUAUUGUGGUCCUCUGACUUCCACCGUGCCCACACAUAUUGCAUGCAUGCAAUGACGAUUAAUGAACUAAAUUUAAAAUCUCCUAACUGGAAUUAAAAACCAUUAGAGGUUA